rnacentral:rRNA from 1 species
GAGGAAUAUUGGUCAAUGGGCGCGAGCCUGAACCAGCCAAGUAGCGUGAAGGAUGAAGGUCCUAUGGAUUGUAAACUUCUUUUAUAGCAGAAUAAAGUGACCCACGUGUGGGUUUUUGUAUGUAUGCUAUGAAUAAGGAUCGGCUAACUCCGUGCCAGCAGCCGCGGUAAUACGGAGGAUCCGAGCGUUAUCCGGAUUUAUUGGGGUUAAAGGGUGCGUAGGCGGAAAGAUAAGUCAGCCUGUGAAAGUUUGCGGCUCAACCGUAAAAUUGCAGUUGAUACUGUUUUUCUUGUGUGUACAUAAGGUAGGCGGAAUUCGUUGUGUAGCGGGGAAAUGCUUAGAUAUCACGAAUAACUCCGAUUGCGAAGGCAGCUUACCGGGGUACAACUGACGCUGAUGCACGAAAGGGUGGGUAUCAAACA